rnacentral:rRNA from 1 species
AUUGAACGCUGGCGGCACGCUUAACACAUGCAAGUCGAACGGUAGCGGAGUGCAUUUAUGUACAGACGACGAGUGGCGGACGGGUGAGUAACGCGUAGGAAUAUGUCAUAUAGAGGGGGAUAACUUGGGGAAACUCAAGCUAAUACCGCAUAAUAUCUUAGGAUUAAAGAUAGGGACCUUCGGGCCUUUCGCUAUAUGGGUAGCCUGCGUACGAUUAGUUAGUUGGUGGGGUAAAGGCCUACCAAGGCGAUGAUCGUUAGCUGGUCUGAGAGGACGGACAGCCACACUGGGAAUGAGACACGGCCCAGACUCCUACGGGAGGCAGCAGUGGGGAAUAUUGGACAAUGGGGGGAACCCUGAUCCAGCGAUGCCGCGUGUGUGAAGAAGGCCUGCGGGUUGUAAAGCACUUUCAGUUAGGAGGAAGUAAGUUAGGUUAAGAGCUAGAUUUAUUGACGUUACUGACAGAAGAAGCACCGGCUAACUCCGUGCCAGCCGCCGCAGUAA